rnacentral:rRNA from 1 species
AACGAACGCUGGCGGCGUGCCUAACACAUGCAAGUCGAACGAGAAAGGGGCUUCGGCUCCGAGUAAAGUGGCGCACGGGUGUGUAACACGUGGGUAACCUGCCUCUAAGAUUGGGAUAACUCGUCGAAAGAUGAGCUAAUACCGAAUAAGACCACAGUUCCCGCGGGAACAGGGGUCAAAGGUAGCCUCUGCUUGCAAGCUAUCACUUAGAGAUGGGCCUGCGCACCAUUAGCUAGUUGGUAGGGUAACGGCCUACCAAGGCAAAGAUGGUUAGCUGGUCUGAGAGGAUGAUCAGCCACACUGGAACUGAGACACGGUCCAGACUCCUACGGGAGGCAGCAGUGGGGAAUAUUGCGCAAUGGGCGAAAGCUUGACGCAGCAACGCCGCGUGAGUGAUGAAGGCCUUCGGGUCGUAAAGCUCUGUCGGGAGGAACGAAUGCUCCUGAGGUUAACAGCCUCGGGAGGUGACGGUACCUGCAAAGGAAGCACCGGCUAACUCUGUG